CUCCCGUGAAUGUCCGCCGCUCGCCUUCACGCCCUCCGCGUCCGCUUUGCUCUGCCUCUCGUCGAAAAGUUGCCUGAUUUUGGUGACGCUGGGCCACCGGUCCGCGUGCGGGGAGAGAUAGUUUCUGUGACACUUACAAGGGGGCCUGUACGUUUCCCAGCAUUCCUGUCGUCAGGGGUUAACGCACGGAGAGGAGGCCGCUGGUUGAACACGCGCGGACGCCGGGGAAUUCUGCCUUACAUUCCCCUAGAGGAGGAGAGGCUGUCUGCAGCGCCCCCCACAGGCCGAACGGGAGAACGUCAGCUCAGCGAUGGAGGGAGACAGACCAGUUAAUAAAUCAUCACUUUAUUGUCUUCACUACUUCAACUUUAAAGAUUAAUGAUUUUACUGUGUUUCAAUCAACCAGCUCUUUUUCAACUCUAUAAUUCUUGUUGGUCUGUUUUUAAAGUGGACUUUUUAUAGUCAAAGUCAGAAUGUAUAGUGUGUUUUUUUAUUGUGUGUUGUUACACAUUUAAUGUUUUUUUUCCAUUAUCUUAUAUAACAACAUUUAAACAUUUCACAAACCAAUGCACAGUGGGAUAAAAAUAUAUAUUCAAACAUAAAUGUUGCCUCUUUAUAUUUAUAUUUCUGUAACAAAAUAAAGUUCUUCCAAAUAAUACUGGUUGACACAGACAAUUCUGAACGGGUUGAGCUUAGAGGAAAUGACAAAAAUAUUUGUGCAAACAGACAAGUAAACAACAGGAGUGUUCAGUCACUAGAACAGGAAGCCAGGGACACAACAUUGAGACUAUAUUACUGCAUAUGCACACCGGACGCAAACACGUUCACAAAGUAAAAGACCUCAAACUGUGAUCAAAAUUGUUCUUGCAUUUCAAAUGCAUGAAACUGAAAAGUUCACAUUUAACUAAUAUCAACA